GCUUUCCUGUGGCUCAUUUGGUAGAGCAUUGGGCUAACAACGGAAAGGUUGUGGGUUCAGAUGCCAGGGAAAGCA
rnacentral:tRNA from 1 species